UACGUAGGAGGCAAGCGUUGUCCGGAAUUACUGGGCGUAAAGCGCGUGUAGGUGGUGGGACAAGUCUGCUGUGAAAGCGCCUGGCUUAACCGGGCGAGGUCGGCGGAAACUGUCCGACUCGAGGACGGUAGAGGGGGGUGGAAUUCCCGGUGUAGUGGUGAAAUGCGUAGAGAUCGGGAGGAACACCAGUGGCGAAGGCGGCUACCUGGACCAGCACUGACACUGAGGCACGAAAGCGUGGGGAGCAAACAGG
rnacentral:rRNA from 1 species